rnacentral:piRNA from 1 species
UGGUUUGUCUGGUUGCUGACGCUCAAUU